GAAGUAAAAAGUCGUAACAAGGUCUCCGUUGGUGAACCAGCGGAGGGA
rnacentral:rRNA from 1 species